rnacentral:rRNA from 1 species
AUUGAACGCUGGCGGCAUGCCUUACACAUGCAAGUCGAACGGUAACAGGUCUUCGGAUGCUGACGAGUGGCGAACGGGUGAGUAAUACAUCGGAACGUGCCCAGACGUGGGGGAUAACGAGGCGAAAGCUUUGCUAAUACCGCAUACGAUCUAAGGAUGAAAGCAGGGGACCGCAAGGCCUUGUGCGUUUGGAGCGGCCGAUGGCAGAUUAGGUAGUUGGUGGGAUAAAAGCUUACCAAGCCGACGAUCUGUAGCUGGUCUGAGAGGACGACCAGCCACACUGGGACUGAGACACGGCCCAGACUCCUACGGGAGGCAGCAGUGGGGAAUUUUGGACAAUGGGCGAAAGCCUGAUCCAGCAAUGCCGCGUGCAGGAUGAAGGCCUUCGGGUUGUAAACUGCUUUUGUACGGAACGAAAAGGCUCUGGCUAAUACCUGGGGCACAUGACGGUGCCGUAAGAAUAAGCACCGGCUAACUACGUG